rnacentral:rRNA from 1 species
AUUGAACGCUGGCGGCAGGCCUAACACAUGCAAGUCGAGCGGAUGAAGGGAGCUUGCUCCUGGAUUCAGCGGCGGACGGGUGAGUAAUGCCUAGGAAUCUGCCUGGUAGUGGGGGAUAACGUCCGGAAACGGGCGCUAAUACCGCAUACGUCCUGAGGGAGAAAGUGGGGGAUCUUCGGACAUCACGCUAUCAGAUGAGCGUAGGUGGGAUUAGCUAGUUGGUGGGGUAAAGGGCUACCAAGCCGACGAUCCGUAACUGGUCUGAGAGGAGGAUCAGUCACACUGGAAGUGAGACACGGACAAGGCUCCUAAGGGAGGCAGCAGUGGGGAAUAUUGGACAAUAGGCGAAAGCCUGAUCCAGCCGUGCCGCGUGUGUUAAGAAGGUCUUCGGAGUGGAAAGCACUUUAAGUGGGGGGGAAGGGCAGUAAGUUAAGACCUUGCUGUUGUGACGUUACCAACAGAAUAAGCACCGGCUAACUACGUG